rnacentral:rRNA from 1 species
AACGGGUGAGUAAUGCGUGACCGACCUGCCCCAUACACCGGAAUAGCUCCUGGAAACGGGUGGUAAUGCCGGAUGCUCCGACUCCUCGCAUGGGGUGUCGGGAAAGAUUUCAUCGGUAUGGGAUGGGGUCGCGUCCUAUCAGGUAGUCGGCGGGGUAACGGCCCACCGAGCCUACGACGGGUAGCCGGCCUGAGAGGGCGACCGGCCACAUUGGGACUGAGAUACGGCCCAGACUCCUACGGGAGGCAGCAGUGGGGAGUAUUGCACAAUGGGCGCAAGCCUGAUGCAGCGACGCCGCGUGCGGGAUGACGGCCUUCGGGUUGUAAACCGCUUUUGAUCGGGAGCAAGCCUUCGGGUGAGUGUACCUUUCGAAUAAGCACCGGCUAACUACGUGCCAGCAGCCGCGGUAAUACGUAGGGCGCAAGCGUUAUCCGGAAUUAUUGGGCGUAAAGGGCUCGUAGGCGGUUCGUCGCGUCCGGUGUGAAAGUCCAUCGCUUAACGGUGGAUCUGCGCCGGGUACGGGCGGGCUGGAGUGCGGUAGGGGAGACUGGAAUUCCCGGUGUAACGGUGGAAUGUGUAGAUAUCGGGAAGAACACCAAUGGCGAAGGCAGGUCUCUGGGCCGUUACUGACGCUGAGGAGCGAAAGCGUGGGGAGCGAACAGGAUUAGAUACCCUGGUAGUCCACGCCGUAAACGGUGGAUGCUGGAUGUGGGGCCCGUUCCACGGGUUCCGUGUCGGAGCUAACGCGUUAAGCAUCCCGCCUGGGGAGUACGGCCGCAAGGCUAAAACUCAAAGAAAUUGACGGGGGCCCGCACAAGCGGCGGAGCAUGCGGAUUAAUUCGAUGCAACGCGAAGAACCUUACCUGGGCUUGACAUGUUCCCGACAGCCGUAGAGAUAUGGCCUCCCUUCGGGGCGGGUUCACAGGUGCUGCAUGGUCGUCGUCAGCUCGUGUCGUGAGAUGUUGGGUUAAGUCCCGCAACGAGCGCAACCCUCGCCCUGUGUUGCCAGCACGUCAUGGUGGGAACUCACGGGGGACCGCCGGGGUCAACUCGGAGGAAGGUGGGGAUGACGUCAGAUCAUCAUGCCCCUUACGUCCAGGGCUUCACGCAUGCUACAAUGGCCGGUACAACGGGAUGCGACACGGCGACGUGGAGCGGAUCCCUGAAAACCGGUCUCAGUUCGGAUUGGAGUCUGCAACCCGACUCCAUGAAGGCGGAGUCGCUAGUAAUCGCGGAUCAGCAACGCCGCGGUGAAUGCGUUCCCGGGCCUUGUACACACCGCCCGUCAAGUCAUGAAAGUGGGUAGCACCCGAAGCCGGUGGCCUAACCCC